AUUGAACGCUGGCGGCAUGCCUUACACAUGCAAGUCGAACGGUAGCGGGCCUUCGGGUGCCGACGAGUGGCGAACGGGUGAGUAAUGUAUCGGAACGUACCUUUCAGUGGGGGAUAACGUAGCGAAAGUUAAGCUAAUACCGCAUAUUCUGUGAGCAGGAAAGCAGGGGAUCGAAAGACCUUGCGCUGAUUGAGCGGCCGGUAUCAGAUUAGCUAGUUGGUGAGGUAAAGGCUCACCAAGGCGACGAUCUGUAGCGGGUCUGAGAGGAUGAUCCGCCACACUGGAACUGAGACACGGUCCAGACUCCUACGGGAGGCAGCAGUGGGGAAUUUUGGACAAUGGGGGCAACCCUGAUCCAGCCAUGCCGCGUGAGUGAAGAAGGCCUUCGGGUUGUAAAGCUCUUUCGGCCGGGAAGAAAUCGCACGGGCUAAUACCCUGUGUGGAUGACGGUACCGGAAUAAGAAGCACCGGCUAACUACGUGCCAGCAGCCGCCGUAAGAC
rnacentral:rRNA from 1 species